AUUGAACGCUGGCGGCAGGCCUAACACAUGCAAGUCGAACGAGUGGCGGACGGGUGAGUAAUGUCUGGGAAACUGCCUGAUGGAGGGGGAUAACUACUGGAAACGGUAGCUAAUACCGCAUACAAUCGAAGGGGCCCGGAUGGGAUUAGCUAGUUGGUGGGGUAACGGCUCACCAAGGGGACGAUCCCUAGCUGGUCUGAGAGGAUGACCAGCCACACUGGAACUGAGACACGGUCCAGACUCCUACGGGAGGCAGCAGUGGGGAAUAUUGCACAAUGGGCGCAAGCCUGAUACAGCCAUGCCGCGUGUAUGAAGAAGGCCUUCGGGUUGUAAAGUACUUUCAGCGGGGAGGCGUUACCCGCAGAAGAAGCACCGGCUAACUCCGUGCCAGCCGCCGCGGUAAUUC
rnacentral:rRNA from 1 species